rnacentral:tRNA from 1 species
GGGCGCAUAGCUCAGUUGGUAGAGCAGCUGACUCUUAAUCAGCGGGUCGUAGGUUCGAGCCCUACUGCGCCUACCA